UACGUAGGGUGCGAGCGUUAAUCGGAAUUACUGGGCGUAAAGCGUGCGCAGGCGGUUUUGUAAGUUUGUCGUGAAAUCCCCGGGCUCAACCUGGGAAUGGCGAUGAAGACUGCAAGGCUAGAGUUUGGCAGAGGGGGGUAGAAUUCCACGUGUAGCAGUGAAAUGCGUAGAUAUGUGGAGGAACACCGAUGGCGAAGGCAGCCCCCUGGGUCAAAACUGACGCUCAUGCACGAAAGCGUGGGGAGCAAACAGG
rnacentral:rRNA from 1 species